rnacentral:rRNA from 1 species
UACGUAGGGCGCAAGCGUUAUCCGGAAUUAUUGGGCGUAAAGAGCUCGUAGGCGGUUUGUCGCGUCUGCCGUGAAAGUCCGGGGCUCAACUCCGGAUCUGCGGUGGGUACGGGCAGACUAGAGUGAUGUAGGGGAGACUGGAAUUCCUGGUGUAGCGGUGAAAAUGCGCAGAUAUCAGGAGGAACACCGAUGGCGAAGGCAGGUCUCUGGGCAUUAACUGACGCUGAGGAGCGAAAGCAU